CGGGGCCCUACCAGCACCUUUUCAGCCUCAGCCAGAAACCCUGCUGAACACUCUAAGCGGCCGGCGCCUUUUCCCACGAAGGUCUUCUUAAACAACACUUAGACAAAAGCUGGAAACUAGUUCAGCACAAGGAUUUUUGCAUUUGUGUUCAUCAGUGACACUGGCCGGAAGCUCCCAAAUUCAACCAAACAUUUAAAGAAGAGUUAACACCUGUCCUUCUGAAACAGUCCCCAGAAACUGCAGAGGAAGGAACACUUCUGAACUCAUCUUCUGAGGCCUACAUCACUCUGAUACCAAAACCAGAUAAAGGUAUUGCGGAAAAGGAAAAUUACAGCCCAGCACUUUGAAACAGUCUUCUACUGGAUUCCGCGCAUGACGCCUUUUGCUCACACGAAGGCGCAGAAACCGAGCCAGGCGUGGAUGCCCCGACACCAGAGCAGAUUCAGGCGAGGCUUAUCCCAGCCCUGCUGAACCCUCUUCACCGACUCCCUCUGCCCAGGGGGCAUCACUCAAGGCGCCCUGCAGUACCCAAGAGGAUCCGCGCGCCAAGGCCCUGCUGCUCCUGAGGCCCUCUUCCCUCCAACCUCGCCAGACCCGGCCUCCCAGCCUCCGCGGAGCCCUGCUCCUCCGCUGCAGGUUCCACGCAACCGGGACGGGCCCUGUGCCCCGGAGCCUGCGGGGACGAGCCAGACCAGCCAGUCCGCAGCUGGCCACCCUGCUCAGGCUUGAUGGGUGAGCAGACAUCUGGCCGUGUCCAUCAGACCGGGUAACCAGUGACCCACAUGGACCAGCUGUCCCAGGCAGGGCCAUGGCCCCGGGGGACGCCGCUCCUGAAGGACUCACAGCUAGAGCCUGUCUGCCCACGGCCUUGCCGGCAGCUGGAGAGACAAGCUUCCCACGGAAGGGGGGGCUGGGGGGCGUCCAUCACAGCCCCAUCUGCCAGGCCUCUCAGAUGACUAAUCGGUAAACCACCAUUAUUAGAACGUUCCCUUGUUCACUGUAGUUUGCUAAAUCUUAUUUGCAUUCACUGGGUACCUUUAACAUAUUAUUUGUCGUCUGCUGACAUCAUGGGGUUCCUUAAUUUGCAAUAAAGGAAAACAAUGCCA
ensembl:lncRNA